UAAUAAACAGCUAGCUGAAAAAAAUAAUACUAUUAAAAAUGAUAACAAUAAUUUGACAGACAAAAUUCAAUCCAUGUCAAAGGGUGCUAAAAAAUUUAUCUGAAUUCGUAGUGUUGAAUUUACCAAUCAGAAUCUGUUAAAAAAAAAAGUUAUGAUAUGUUAAUGGAUAAGGUAUCUCUACAGAAAGGCAAUGUACAUGUCAUCCAAGUAAUUUCCAAGAAUGAGAUGUUGUCUUUACUGGACAAAUUUCUUACCUUGGAAUCAUACAUGCAAAAUAAGGACCAGAAGUUAAAUAAAUCAAUGAGGACACCAAAACAGCACACAGGACUGGAGAUUUAGACUUUACAAAAGACAGUGGUAAAAUGCUGCCAUUCAUUUGGGCAUAGAUUUUCCCACACAGCAGUCCUGUUUGGCUGCUACCAGCUGACUUCUGUGUCCAGCUAUUUCUGCGCCUGUGGAAGCUCAGGCAGUGCCAAGGGCACAACAGGCAGAGAGAUGCGGGAGACGGAGGCGGAAAAGGUUGAGGAGAUCGCGCCCAGCGCCACCACUACCGCCAUGGGCAACAUGCCCUCUGUCCCAAGUAGGAGGCCCCAGCCUUCUGCCAACUGUCUCAUGUAUCUGUUAAACAGCCAGGGACCUCCGCUGAGUACAUAGUCUGUGAUUUAUAUUUACACUAAAUAACCAUUUUUAAUCUGAGCAUAUCUUUUAGCAUUGAAUCAGAUUUAAACCAGUCACACAGCUCCAAGUGCAACGCGACACCUACUUGCAGGUAACGGUUAUUACACCUACUUCAGCUAACUAAACCACAGGUAAGAUUUAUUAUGGACAAUUUAACCUUUCAAGGUUUCAAUAGCCUCUAUACUUACACCAUGUAUGAGGUUUUGCAAGACUUAUAUAAUUUCCCUCCUUCAUCACUAUUUCUAGAGCUAAUGGGCCAAGCAGUGAUUUAAUUAAUACAGUUUCUGUGUGAUUACUUCUGAUCUCAGCUAGCCAGGUGGCCCAGAACCAAGAAGCGGGCCCCUCCUCCAACAAAGAUUCUGAUCAAAUUAUUAUUACAUCUGUACCUGUGACUACCAGAUCUUCAAUAACAACGUCACUUAUUUAUGUUUCUAAUUCUGGUAUUGUUCAUCUAUAGAAACUUGCCAAAAUACUUGUUUUAUGGUUUCUCCUGAAUUUUUUGUCCUCUCUUCUAUAUCUGUUCAAUUAUCCAGAGCAGUAUAGUUUCUUACAAUAGACAUUAGGAUUUUUCAUUGCUUUGGUAAGGGGUUUCCUCUACAAUGGCUGGAAACUACUCAACCAGAUUUGGCAUAGGGGCCAAAUGUCUGCAAAAGGCCCCUCAUGGACUUUCCCAAUGCAAAGUAUUAUUUUGAAUAUUCCUCAUUGGCCUACAUUUAUUAGUCCAAUGCCUGCCCGUGCCAUAACUUCUGCAUAAUCCAGAAUGGAGGUGCAUUCUGAACGAAUUAUUUUUAGAAAAAACAUUGUUUCUAGGAAUGCCCUGUUGACAAUCUCUUUUAAAGUGACCUUGUUUGUCACAACUAUAACAUUUGACAUUUUGAUUUUUCCUCAAACCUCUGGAAAUCACCUCUCCUAUCCAUGGAGCAUCAUGUUCAUGAGAGUCUAUAUUGAUUGUAUCUCAGAUUCUUUACUCCUUGCCUUUAAUGGCCUAAUUAUCCAUUUGCAUAGAGGAUUGGCAUUUUUAGAAGCCAGAGAUUUAAUUAUUAUUUGUCUAGCUCCUGAAUUUGAUAUCAUUCUGUUUACUGCUGAAGUCAAUCUUUGUAAGAAAUCCAUAAAGGCUUUCUUUGGGCUCUGUAUAACUUUAGUAAAUGACUCAAUUUUCUUUCCUUUUUCUCUGAUUCUGUCCCAAGCACUCAAAGCUGCUGUGUGGCAUAAAUCCAGAGUGCAGUCAUCAUAUACAGUUUGCAUUCCUUUGGAUCAUUUUUGGGACUGAAGGUGUUGUUGAAUCAGUUGCUAAAAAGGAGAAAUGAUUUUGGACUGAGGAUAAUGUUGAAAGGAGGCAGCAAGUGUCAUCUUCAUCAAAAUAUCUUAUCCAGAGCUUUGUUCUUGAAAACCUGCAUUCAAUAUCAGCACAGUACGAUGAAAGAUACAAGUGCAAGGGUUGAGCAGCUGGGAACAAACAAGAGGUCUCCCACAACAACUUCCUGUUGCCUGCAAGAUGUAGGACUCUCAGUUACUUAUCCGGUACCAUGUGUGCCUACAUAUUGCCAUGUCCCCACCAUGAUGACAAUGGACUGAAUCUCUGAACUGUAAGCAAGCCACCACAAUUAAAUGUUUUCCUUUAUAAAAGUUUCUCUGUGGGGCUGGAGAGA